UACGUAGGGGGCAAGCGUUGUCCGGAAUCAUUGGGCGUAAAAGAGCGUGUAGGCGGCCCGAUAAGUCCGCUGUGAAAGUCCAGGGCUCAACCCUGGAAUGCCAGUGGAAACUGUCGGGCUAGAGUCCGGAAGAGGCGAGUGGAAUUCCUGGUGUAGCGGUGAAAUGCGCAGAUAUCAGGAGGAACACCGAUGGCGAAGGCAGCUCGCUGGGACGGUACUGACGCUGAGACGCGAAAGCGUGGGGAGCAAACAGG
rnacentral:rRNA from 1 species